CCUGAGUACGACGGAGCACGUGAAAUUCCGUCGGAAUCUGGGAGGACCAUCUCCUAAGGCUAAAUACUCUCUAGUGACCGAUAGUGAACCAGUACCGUGAGGGAAAGGUGAAAAGUACCCCGGAAGGGGAGUGAAAGAGAACUUGAAACCGUGUGCUUACAAGUAGUCAGAGCCCGUUAAUGGGUGAUGGCGUGCCUUUUGUAGAAUGAACCGGCGAGUUACGAUCUGAUGCAAGGUUAAGCAGAAAAUGUGGAGCCGUAGCGAAAGCGAGUCUGAAUAGGGCGAAUGAGUAUUUGGUCGUAGACCCGAAACCAGGUGAUCUACCCUUGGUCAGGUUGAAGUUCAGGUAACACUGAAUGGAGGACCGAACCGACUUACGUUGAAAAGUGAGCGGAUGAACUGAGGGUAGCGGAGAAAUUCCAAUCGAACUUGGAGAUAGCUGGUUCUCUCCGAAAUAGCUUUAGGGCUAGCCUCAAGUGAUGAUUAUUGGAGGUAGAGCACUGUUUGGACGAGGGGCCCCUCUCGGGUUACCGAAUUCAGACAAACUCCGAAUGCCAAAUAAUUUAACUUGGGAGUCAGAAUGUGGGUGAUAAGGUCCAUAUUCGAAAGGGAAACAGCCCAGACCACCAGCUAAGGUCCCAAAAUAUAUGUUAAGUGGAAAAGGAUGUGGCGUUGCCCAGACAACUAGGAUGUUGGCUUAGAAGCAGCCAUCAUUUAAAGAGUGCGUAAUAGCUCACUAGUCGAGUGACACUGCGCCGAAAAUGUACCGGGGCUAAACAUAUUACCGAAGCUGUGGAUUGUCCAUUGGACAAUGGUAGGAGAGCGUUCUAAGGGCGUUGAAGCAUGAUCGCAAGGACAUGUGGAGCGCUUAGAAGUGAGAAUGCCGGUGUGAGUAGCGAAAGACGGGUGAGAAUCCCGUCCACCGAUUGACUAAGGUUUCCAGAGGAAGGCUCGUCCGCUCUGGGUUAGUCGGGUCCUAAGCUGAGGCCGACAGGCGUAGGCGAUGGAUAACAGGUUGAUAUUCCUGUACCACCAUUAUUCGUUUUAAGCGAUGGGGGGACGCAGUAGGAUAGGCGAAGCGUGCUGUUGGAGUGCACGUCCAAGCAGUGAGAUUGAGUGUUAGGCAAAUCCGGCACUCUUAAGAUUGAGCUGUGAUGGGGAGAGGAACUUGUUCCUCGAGUCGUUGAUUUCACACUGCCGAGAAAAGCCUCUAGCUAGAAUAACGGUGCCCGUACCGCAAACCGACACAGGUAGUCAAGAUGAGAAUUCUAAGGUGAGCGAGCGAACUCUCGUUAAGGAACUCGGCAAAAUGACCCCGUAACUUCGGGAGAAGGGGUGCUCUUUGAGGUUCACGCUUCGAAGAGCCGCAGUGAAUAGGCCCAAGCGACUGUUUAUCAAAAACACAGGUCUCUGCUAAACCGUAAGGUGACGUAUAGGGGCUGACGCCUGCCCGGUGCUGGAAGGUUAAGAGGAGUGGUUAGCGCAAGCGAAGCUACGAAUCGAAGCCCCAGUAAACGGCGGCCGUAACUAUAACGGUCCUAAGGUAGCGAAAUUCCUUGUCGGGUAAGUUCCGACCCGCACGAAAGGCGUAACGAUUUGGGCACUGUCUCAACGAGAGACUCGGUGAAAUCAUAGUACCGGUGAAGAUGCCGGUUACCCGCGACAGGACGGAAAGACCCCGUGGAGCUUUACUGUAGCCUGAUAUUGAAAUUCGGUACAGUUUGUACAGGAUAGGUAGGAGCCUUAGAAGCGUGAGCGCUAGCUUACGUGGAGGCAUUGGUGGGAUACUACCCUAAUUGUAUUGGAUUUCUAACCCGCAGCACUUAUCGUGCUGGGAGACAGUGUCAGGCGGGCAGUUUGACUGGGGCGGUCGCCUCCUAAAGAGUAACGGAGGCGCUCAAAGGUUCCCUCAGAAUGGUUGGAAAUCAUUCAUAGAGUGUAAAGGCAUAAGGGAGCUUGACUGCGAGACCUACAAGUCGAGCAGGGUCGAAAGACGGACUUAGUGAUCCGGUGGUUCCGCAUGGAAGGGCCAUCGCUCAACGGAUAAAAGCUACCCCGGGGAUAACAGGCUUAUCUCCCCCAAGAGUUCACAUCGACGGGGAGGUUUGGCACCUCGAUGUCGGCUCAUCGCAUCCUGGGGCUGUAGUCGGUCCCAAGGGUUGGGCUGUUCGCCCAUUAAAGCGGUACGCGAGCUGGGUUCAGAACGUCGUGAGACAGUUCGGUCCCUAUCCGUCGUGGGCGUAGGAAAUUUGAGAGGAGCUGUCCUUAGUACGAGAGGACCGGGAUGGACAUACCUCUGGUGUACCAGUUGUCGUGCCAACGGCAUAGCUGGGUAGCUAUGUAUGGACGGGAUAAGUGCUGAAAGCAUCUAAGCAUGAAGCCCCCCU
rnacentral:rRNA from 1 species